rnacentral:rRNA from 1 species
UACGGGGGGAGCAAGCGUUGUUCGGAUUUACUGGGCGUAAAGGGCGCGUAGGCGGUCACGACAAGUCAGUUGUGAAAUCUCCGGGCUUAACUCGGAACGGUCAACUGAUACUGUCGGACUAGAGUGCAGAAGGGGCAACUGGAAUUCUCGGUGUAGCGGUGAAAUGCGUAGAUAUCGAGAGGAACACCUGCGGCGAAGGCGGGUUGCUGGGCUGACACUGACGCUGAGGCGCGAAGGCCAGGGGAGCAAACGGG